CCUACGGGAGGCAGCAGUGGGGAAUAUUGGGCAAUGGGCGCAAGCCUGACCCAGCAACGCCGCGUGAAGGAAGAAGGCUUUCGGGUUGUAAACUUCUUUUUAGAGGGAAGAGCAGAAGACGGUACCUCUUGAAUAAGCCACGGCUAACUACGUGCCAGCAGCCGCGGUAAUACGUAGGUGGCAAGCGUUGUCCGGAUUUACUGGGUGUAAAGGGCGUGUAGCCGGGCUGACAAGUCAGAUGUGAAAUCCCGUGGCUCAGACACGGAACUGCAUUUGAAACUGUCGGUCUUGAGUAUCGGAGGGGCAGGCGGAAUUCCUGGUGUAGCGGUGAAAUGCGUAGAGAUUAGGCGGAACACCAGUGGCGAAGGCGGCCUGCUGGACGACAACUGACGGUGAGGCGCGAAAGCGUGGGGAGCGAACAGGAUUAGAUACCCGUGUAGUC
rnacentral:rRNA from 1 species